CAGUAGCCGCGGGAAAACGUAGGUGGCAAGCGUUGUCCGGAAUUAUUGGGCGUAAAGCGCGCGCAGGUGGUUUAAUAAGUCUGAUGUGAAAGCCCACGGCUCAACCGUGGAGGGUCAUUGGAAACUGUUAAACUUGAGUGCAGGAGAGAAAAGUGGAAUUCCUAGUGUAGCGGUGAAAUGCGUAGAGAUUAGGAGGAACACCAGUGGCGAAGGCGGCUUUUUGGCCUGUAACUGACACUGAGGCGCGAAAGCGUGGGGAGCAAACAGGAUUAGAUACCCCCGUAGUCCCUGUCUCUUAUAC
rnacentral:rRNA from 1 species